AUUUUUAUUUUGAAAAGAGCUUAUUUUCUGUAGACCUACAUCAUUGGAAACACACCAUAGAGUAAAUAUUUUGUUUCCUUUAUUCACAGACCUAUUUGUUAGAUCUGUGGGAAGAAAAAAGAAUGCUGCU
rnacentral:snoRNA from 1 species